ACUCAAAGGAAUUGACGGGGACCCGCACAAGCAGCGGAGCAUGUGGUUUAAUUCGAAGAUACGCGAAGAACCUUACCAAGGCUUGACAUCCUCUGACAGGCAUAGAAAUAUGUUUUUCCCGAAAGGGACAGAGAGACAGGUGGUGCAUGGUUGUCGUCAGCUCGUGUCGUGAGAUGUUCGGUUAAGUCCGGCAACGAGCGCAACCCUUAUGAUAUGUUGCCAAUAUUAAGUUAGGAACUCAUAUCAGACUGCCGCGGAUAACGCGGAGGAAGGCGGGGACGACGUCAAAUCAUCAUGCCCCUUACGUCUUGGGCAACACACGUGCUACAAUGGGCGCUACAAAGAGCAGCGAGCCGGCAACGGUAAGCGAAUCUCAAAAAAGCGUUCUCAGUUCAGAUUGUGGGCUGCAACCCGCCCGCAUGAAGCAGGAGUUGCUAGUAAUCCCGAAUCAGAAUGUCGGGGUGAAUGCGUUCCCGGGUCUUGUACACACCGCCCGU
rnacentral:rRNA from 1 species